CCAAUAGCGUAUAUUAAAGUUGUUGCAGUUAAAAAGCUCGUAGUUGAAUUUUAGGCCUGGCCGGGCGGUCCGUCUUUGGCGAGUACUGUCUGUUGUCGGGUCUUCCUUCUGGUGAACCAAUAUGUCCUUUAUUGGGUGUGCUGGGGAGCCAGGACCAUUACCUUGAAAAAAUUAGAGUGUUUAAAGCAGGCUUUUGCUUGAAUAGAUUAGCAUGGAAUAAUAGAAUAGGACGUUGUGGUUCUAUUUUGUUGGUUUCUAGGACCACCGUAAUGAUUAAUAGGGAUAGUUGGGGGCAUUAGUAUUCAAUUGUCAGAGGUGAAAUUCUUGGAUUUAUUGAAGACUAACUAUUGCGAAAGCAUUUGCCAAGGAUGUUUUCAUUAAUCAAGAACGAAAGUUAGGGGAUCGAAGACGAUCAGAUACCGUCGUAGUCUUAACCAUAAACUAUGCCGACUAGGAAUCGGGCGACGUUAUUUUAAUGACUCGCUCGGCGCCUUAUG
rnacentral:ncRNA from 2 species